rnacentral:rRNA from 1 species
UACGUAGGGUGCGAGCGUUAAUCGGAAUUAUUGGGCGUAAAGCGCGUGUAGGCGGCUUUGCAAGUCGGGUGUGAAAGCCCUCGGCUCAACCGAGGAAGUGCGCCCGAAACUGCAGAGCUUGAGUACCGGAGAGGAUGGCGGAAUUCCCCAAGUAGAGGUGAAAUUCGUAGAUAUGGGGAGGAACACCGGUGGCGAAGGCGGCCAUCUGGACGGAUACUGACGCUGAGACGCGAAAGCGUGGGGAGCAAACAGG